rnacentral:lncRNA from 1 species
GGAGACAUUGGAAAGGAUAGAAUAAAUGAAGAGAAAGACAAACAAUCUAUACUAUAUCUAUACUAUAUUAAAACAGCAGUUUUCAAUUAGAAAUUGAUUUCAAAUCAAUUUGAAAAUUGAAUGGCGAUUUUGUAGUUAAGACAAAAUUGAAGAUUUAUUUAUAAACUCUAUUUAUUCUUUUUAUUUUCUUUUCUUUAACUUCUUAUUUUUUUUGUUUUAUUUAUUUCUAAAAUUAUGAAAUUCGAUUAAUUAUAAAAUAUUCAAUAUGCC